rnacentral:rRNA from 1 species
GACAGAGGAGCCAAGCGUUGUCCGGAUUGACUGGGCGUAAAGCGCACGUAGGCGGCUUUGCAAGUCGGAUGUGAAAUCCCUCGGCUUAACCAAGGAAGUGCAUCCGAAACUGCAGAGCUUGAGUACUUAAGAGGAUCGCGGAAUUCCCGGUGUAGAGGUGAAAUUCGUAGAUAUCGGGAGGAACACCAGUGGCGAAGGCGGCGAUCUGGGAAGAUACUGACGCUGAGGUGCGAAAGCGUGGGGAGCAAACAGG